UAGAGGGCAAGCAGGCCAUAGCGACAAGGCGCGAGACCUGAGGACCUGGUGUUCUGGCCAGAGCCAGAGCUGGCUCUGCCUCUCGGGGGGACAGGACAGGAGGGGGACUCAGGGGCACAUUUAAAUGCGGGAUGGGACAAGGACAGAGGGAUGGACUCCACUCCCCAUACGGGCCCGGCCGCUGUCCCUGGGCUUGGCUGGCCUUUACCUGGCUGGCCCUCAGCUACUGCUCCCGUGCCCACAGCAGCUGAUGCAGGGACCCUUGCUUCCCUGCAUUUCUCCCAAAUCAAAACUCGCCUGGGGUGAAGGGACAGGACCUGGCUUCCUACUGGGCAUUGCAGGUCCCUGGCUUCUCUCAGGAAGCACAGAGCUCUGUUAGAGCUCUGGUCCCAGGAGCGGGGUUCUCUUUUACCCUGAGCAUGAGAGCGUGUACUGAGCGUGGAGGCCAGAGUCAGACGGACCUGGGAUUAGCCCAGGGCAAGACCCCGAGCAAGUUACUUAAUCUCUAUGAGCCUCAGUUUCUCUGCAAGGGAAAUGAGGAUAGCAAUGCCUACCUGCAGUGUGGACAGAGGCAUUGCAGCUAAUACAGGUAAAUACCCAGCACCUGGUGCUCCUGUUAUCAAAUAUUUUCAAAUGCUAAUGGACCAGGCUCUGAGGGGCAGAGCGACUUGCAGCGUGCCUGGCUCCCUGCCUCCGUGCCUUCCUUGAUCGCCCAGAGACCCCGCCCUUUUGGAGAGCACUUGGACCAUCCCUGGGCUCGCUGUGUAGCGCAGCCAUGCCGGGGUCACCUCCCCGGUCUGGCGGGGUGUCUGGCACCCAGCAAGCGGCCCCACCCUUCCAGGUCUCCACCACGUUGGUCUCAGUGCCAUCGGCUGCCUUCAUGGAGGCUUUGGUCGUUUACCUGAGUGUAAUUCUUGAUUGGCCAUUAAUUUACCUUCCUUCUGAGGAUAUAUUGCUGGUAAGUUAGCUGUUAGUUUAAUCAUUUUCAUUUGUAGAUAAUUAGUCUUUUCUGUUUGGUUAAAUUUAAGAUACUUUCUCUGUGAUGUUCUGCAGAUUCAUCAUAAUGGGUCUUGAUUUGGAUGCUUUAAUUUAUCCAGGGAGGAUGCUGAGGAGUCAGGUCACAUUUUUCCUCAGUUUUCAAAAAUUUUCAGCCAUCAUCUUUUGAAUAUUGCCUCCACUGAAGUCUCUGUCUUCUCUUGAAAUACUUGCAGGCAUAUAUUGGACCUUCCCAUUCUGUUCUCCGUGCCUCUUACCCUCCAUUUCAUAUUUUCCCGGACUAGUGAUAUGAUUCCUUCUGGGUGGUUUUUCUCAGACUGACCUUUUUGUCCACGAAUUCUCUCCCCAACUAUAGAUAAAUGAGUUUUUCUUUUCCAUUUUAAUGACUGUAUCUUUCACUUCUACAUGCUCUAUUUAAUUACUUUUCUUUUUGACAAAUAACGUAAACGUAUUGUCUUUCAAGACCAAAAAUGAUACACAAGACAGUACUUAACUUGCUUAGCUAUUUUAGUGCUGUGAUAAGCAUAAAUGCCUUUCUUUUUGAAGCGUAUUUGAGACAUACACUUGUUUUUUUUUAACUGACUUUCAUUAAGGCCUGGUAAAAGAAGUAUAAACAAUGUAGAAUGGGCCCAUGAUGAACUGUUACUCUGUUCUACCCACGGGCCUGCUGAAUCUGAGAUGGAAUGCAGGAACUGCUGCCACGCGGAGUGAACACUGCUGUGUCGUGGGUCACACCUGAGGUUUUGGCAGAUAAGAAUGGAGGGGAACAAUUUGCAACACAUUUUACUUACUACAGACAAGUCCCAACUUAAAAUUUUUAUGACUUUGCAAUGGUUCAAAAGCAAUAAACUGUUCAGUAGAAGCUGUACUUUGAAUCUUGAAUUGUGGUCUUCCCUGGGCCUGCAAUAGGCCGUGAGAUCCUCUCAUGAUGCAGGCAGGGCAGCGAGCCACACCCCAUCAGCCACAUGGUCAUGAGGGUGACCAGCUGAUACACUUAAAAAGUUCUGUCCCCAGGCGACCGUUCUGUUUUUUCACUUUCAGUACAGUAUUCCAUAAAUUACAUGACAUGGCCAACACUUUAUUAUGAAAUCAGCCUUGGGUUAGACGAUUUGGCUCAACUGUGGCCUAAUGUAGGUGUUUUGAGCACGUUUAAGGUAGACUGGCUAGGCUAGGUGUAUUAAAAGCAUUUUCAAGUUCUAUUUUCAACUUACAAUGGGUUUAUUGAGAUGUGACUCCAUCGUAAGUUGAGGAAGAUCUAUAUUUAAAUGAGAAGCCACUAAUGCUCCUUUCAAGGACAGGUCACAAGAGAAAGACUGUCUAGGAGGCCUUCUCAUUUGGGGCAUACUGAGUUUUUAUUGGGGACCCACACACUUGUUUAAUUUACAUGCUUAUAACAAAACUGCUGACACAGAGCAUUAAAGAAGAUAACUUUUAAUUUUUACAAAAAUAUACUUUAAAAAAUUCUUUUUUACUCUACAUCCAGAUUACGUUGGCAAUUUUUGGAUUAAAAAAACAAAACUGAAAUGAGCAACUUUCUUUCAAAAAUGCAGCUGUCUGCAACUAAGAGACAGUGAAGAACAGGGAAGUGCAAACAAGCUCAGGGGGAAAUAAUCUGGUUCAACAUAGGUGAUUUUUGGCCUUUCUUACUAUAUCAUAUCUGAAGGUACAAAAUAUCAGGUUGUUCCACUAUUUGGUGAUGCUAAGUGUGAUCACUUGGUUAAAACGAUCCACCAGAUUUCUCCAUUGCAAAGUAGAAUUUAGUCAUUGGUAAGUAAUCUGUAGGAUGACUCAUAGGAGGCAUAUCACAUCCCUUUCCACAAUAUUUUUUCACCAAUGUUUUGGCCUUCAUUGAUGAUCCUUGCCUGAAUCAAACAUUGCCUAAGGGCUGCAAAUAAGGAUUUAAAUAUAUAUAUAUAUAAAUAUAUAUGUAUAAAUAAAUUACAUUUAUUUUCUAUUUACAUUUAUUAUUACAUAUAUAUAUAUACAUAUAUAUAUAUAUGUAUUUCCAUUUACAUGUAUUAGCUGAUUUCUUCUAUAAGAGCUUCUAGGGAACUUGUUUUCAAAUCUAAAGACUUAAACCGAAGAUGGUUAACCUGAACCUAAUGAUGAGGAGAUGAUCAGUGAGAUCCAGAACAUUCACAAGACAUCUUCCCUGGACUCAUCAGCAGAAGCCAGUGUCGAGGACUGGAGAAUGCUAUUCUAGGUGAAAAGCGACUGCAGAGGCUUAACAACCCAAUGAGAUGUGUUGGAUCCUGAUUUUAAAAAGAAAAAGAGAGGAAAAAAAAACCAGCGUGAAAGGCAUUUGGGGAGAAUUGGGAACAUUUGAAUAUGUUAGAUGGUAUUAAAGAAUCAUGUGAAUUUCAUGGGCGUGGUAAUGGUAUUAUGUUUAGGUAAAACCGUCAGUAUUGUAGGAGGUGUAUGUUGAAGUAUUUAGGGUGCAGUGUCAUGCUGUCUGCAGUUAUGUCAAAUGGUUCCACACAAAGCACGUAACACGUUCACAUAUAUAAAUACCUCCAACCAACCCAAAUAUUUGAAAAAUUAAACUGUAAAAUGUCACCAAAUAGGAAGCGUGAGUGUGUCUUACAAUUACCUAUUGUAUC